CCUACGGGUGGCAGCAGUAGGGAAUCUUCCACAAUGGGCGAAAGCCUGAUGGAGCAACGCCGCGUGGGUGAAGAAGGUCUUCGGAUCGUAAAACCCUGUUGUUAGAGAAGAAAGUGCGUGUGAGUAACUGUUCACGUUUCGCCGGUACCUAACCAGACAGCCCCGGCUAACUACGUGCCAGCAGCCGCGGUAAUACGGAGGUGGCAAGCGUUAUCCGGAUUUAUUGGGCGUAAAGGGAACGUAGGCGGGCGUUUAAGUCUGAUGUGAAAGCCUUCGGCUUAACCGGAGUAGUGCAUUGGAAACUGGGAGACUUGAGUGCAGGAGAGGAGGGUGGAACUCCAUGUGUAGCGGUGAAAUGCGUAGAUAUAUGGAAGAACACCAGUGGCGAAGGCGGCUCGCUAGACUGUAACUGACGCUGAGGUUCGAAAGCGUGGGUAGCAAACAGGAUUAGAUACCCCUGUAGUC
rnacentral:rRNA from 1 species